rnacentral:rRNA from 1 species
CCUACGGGAGGCAGCAGUAAGGGAUAUUGGUCAAUGGGGGAAACCCUGAACCAGCAACGCCGCGUGAGGGAAGACGGUUUUCGGAUUGUAAACCUCUGUCCUCUGUGAAGAGGAUGACGGUAGCAGAGGAGGAAGCUCCGGCUAACUACGUGCCAGCAGCCGCGGUAAUACGUAGGGAGCGAGCGUUGUCCGGAAUUACUGGGGGUAAAGGGAGCGUAGGCGGGACGGCAAGUCAGAUGUGAAAACUGAGGGCUCAACUUUCAGACUGCAUUUGAAACUGCUGUUCUUGAGUGAAGUAGAGGUAAGCGGAAUUCCUAGUGUAGCGGUGAAAUGCGUAGAUAUUAGGAGGAACAUCGGUGGCGAAGGCGGCUUACUGGGCUUUUACUGACGCUGAGGCUCGAAAGCGUGGGGAGCAAACAGGAUUAGAUACCCCUGUAGUC